rnacentral:lncRNA from 10 species
UCCAUCUUUCUCAUUUUAACUAUGCUGAGAUGGAGGUCUCACGAUGUUACCCAGGCUGGAGAGCAGUGGCUACUCACAGGCGGGAAUCCCAAGAUGGCCUCCAACUCCUGGACUCAUGCUAUCUCACCUCAGCUUCCUGAGUAGCUGAGACUACAGGCACACACCACCAUGUCCAGCUUCAAUAUCCUUUUAUGUAAGGUAACUGCUCAAGUCUUUUGCCCAUUUUAACAUUUUAAACUGUUUGACUUUUUCUUACUGAUUAUCUUCUAUGUAUUCUGGGGUAUAUUCUCGACAUAUUCUUUUGUUGGAUAUGUAUUGCAAAAUAUACUUUCCCACUCUGUAGAUUCCAUUCUUUACUCACUAUUACAUUUUUUAUAAGUGUAAAUUCUUAGUUUUAACGUUUUUCAAUUUAUCAAUUUUUUUUUUCAUAUUCUGUUCAGUGUGUUUUGUUCUGUAUCCUGUUUAAGAAAUCUUUACUUACUCCAAAUUUGACAAGAUAUCUUAACUAGUUUUGCAAAUGUUUUAAAUUAUAAAACAAAAACUCUUCAUUAUAGAAAAUGUGUAUGAUUUAGAAAAGUCCAAAGAAGAAAUAGAAAAGUCCAAAGAAGAAAAUAAAAAUCAAUAGCACUCUCACCACCAGGAAGGCAGUCACCAUUAUCCUUUUUUUUUUUUUUUUUUGAGAUGGAGUUUUGCUCUUGUUAUCCAGGCUGAAGUGCAAUGGCAUAAUCUCGGUUCACUGCAACCUCUACCUUCUGGGUUCAAGUGAUUCUCCUGCCUCAGCCUCCCAAGUAGCUGGGAUUACAGGCACCUGCCACCAUGCCCAGCUAAUUUUUUGUAUUUUUAGUAGAGACAGGGUUUCUCCAUGUUGGCCAGGCUGGUCUCAAACUCUUGACCUCAGGUAGUCCACCCUCCUCGGCCUCCCAGAGUGCUAGGAUUACAGGCGUGAGCCACCGUGCCCAACCAAUUAUCAUUUUAGUUUUAGUCUUUGGUGCGUGUGUGUGUAUGUGUGUGUUACAUAAUGGGGACCAUGUACAUACUCACUUUUGUAUCAAGCUCUUUUUUUUUAACCAUUCACCUAUAUUAUUUAAAACUCUUCAAAGGCCUCUUAUUUUUAGUGAUUAUGUAUUCUGUUAAGAUUUCAGAACAUAUAAAGAGGCCAUUAUAAAUACUGUAUAUAUGAUGUGUAAUUCUUUAUUAUUCUAAAUCGUGAGAUGAGUAUUUAUGUACAUAUAUUUUGAACUACACCUACCAAAUAUCUAUUAAAAAUUAAUAAAUCUGAGAUCUAAAUAUUUGGUUCCUUGAUGUCUAUUGUAAAAUGCCUUUGGAAAAGUUUUAUCAAUUUGCCAGUCCAUCAAUAUUUAAUGAGAGUACCCAAUUCAUUGUGCUCUUGUCAGCAUAAUGAAAUACACAGCAAAACAGUAUAACCAGACCUGUGGAAAUUUGAUGCCAAAAAUGAAAAGAUUUUAAUUUACAUUUCUUUGAUUUUAAAAGGUUGUAUAUUUUUCAAAUGUUUAUUGACCAUCUGUAUUUCUUAUUUUGUAACUUAUGUCUCUAUGCUUUCUUCAUUAACUUUUUAGAGUUACAACUUGGUAUUUAGGAUUCCAACUAAUAUAUAAUAACAACAUACAUUUCCUUGCAUAUAGAUUUAUAAGUUUAGAUACAUAAGAAAUAUGAGAAGCUAUUGAAAUUACAGGAGUGAGUGGCUAAGGAGAUUUUCAAGCUUACAUGAAAUAUUUUAAUUGUCUAUGUAUUUAACUAAUUAAAAAUUGAUUGUUCAAAGGAAUAUUCUAGUUCAUUGUAUGACUUCAGCUGCUAGUUUGGCUUCUGUAAGUUAUGAAUGGCUCUUUGUUCUUUAGUAGCAAUAACUGCAGAGUUCAGCAACCUUCCCCCCAUCUGACUAAAACAUUGUAGCUCAAGGAGGUCUGCGAGGUUUCAUCUCGUGGGCCAUCUCCAGCUGAUUUUUCAUGCCUACCUGUAGAAGAGCGUUGACUAUAAUUUUGGAACUGAUUUAUCAGUGCUGAUUGUCAUGGAGAUGGGGGUUGGGAGAGCAGAGGGACAUCAUAAAUGCCAACCAGUGACCAUUUCUGCUUUAGAUACUUAGACUUUAUAAUUGUAUUACACUAUUUUAAAUGAUCCCAGGGCCAGGGAGAAGAGGUUGAUAGUUUAGCACCUAAGACUAAUUUUUAAAUAAGAAACCUAUUUUAUACUGUCAAAAACAAAACUGGAAAUAUUUGCUAUUAAGCUAUUAAAUGAUAUGUGUAUGUAAUAAUCAGUUGAUUGUCUGCGUUGUCUAGUUUUGAGAUACUCUCCCUUAGUAAGUCAGUCUCUCCCUGAAACCCAGGAUGUCAUUAUUUUGUUAUAUGGUGACAGUUGCUAAAUUGUUUCUAUCAGGUAAUAUGUGUGUCAUUAGCUAAGCUAUUUCACAAGGUUAUUCUUUCUAAGAUGAAGAGGGUGUAUUAUACCUAGGGAUAUUCAUUUUAAGGACUUCAAGGCUAUGGUCUCUACUGAACCAUGUAGGUAAAAGGAGACAUCUGAAGACACAGGACCCAAGCCCUGAUAAUUUGGAGUUGCUUUUGAACUUCUUUAUGCAUCUUAAAAUGCUGCCAGGGGACACUGACUUUGAAGAGUCAGCUAAAUGGUGAACAAUAAUCUUUGAAGUCCUAAAAGGGCAGGGAGAAGAGGAUAAGACACAGCAGAUGAUUUAGCAGAAAGGGCAAAUUGUCCUAGGCUUUAACAGCAGCAAAUGCUGUCUGGCC